UCCCCGAUAGCUCAGUUGGUAGAGCAACGGACUGUUAAUCCGUUUGUCGCUGGUUCGAGCCCAGUUCGGGGAGCCA
rnacentral:tRNA from 1 species